rnacentral:tRNA from 1 species
GUCCAGGGUGGCCUAGUGGUCAUGGCAUCUGCCCGGUAAGCGGAAGGUCGUGGGUUCGAUACCCAUCCCUUAACA